UACGUAGGGACCGAGCGUUGUCCGGAAUCAUUGGGCGUAAGAGCGUGUAGGCGGCCACUUAAGUCCUGCGUGAAAUCUUGCGGCUCAACCGCAAGCGGUCGUGGGAAACUGGGUGGCUAGAGUGCGGGAGAGGAGAGUGGAAUUCCUGGUGUAGCGGUGGAAUGCGCAGAUAUCAGGAAGAACACCCGUGGCGAAGGCGGCUCUCUGGAACGCAACUGACGCUGAGACGCGAAAAGCGUGGGGGAGCAAACAGG
rnacentral:rRNA from 1 species